AGUGAACGCUGGCGGUAGGCCUAACACAUGCAAGUCGAACGGCAGCACAGUAAGAGCUUGCUCUUACGGGUGGCGAGUGGCGGACGGGUGAGGAAUACAUCGGAAUCUACUUUUUCGUGGGGGAGAACGUAGGGAAACUUACGCUAAUACCGCAUACGACCUACGGGUGAAAGCAGGGGAUCUUCGGACCUUGCGCGAUUGAAUGAGCCGAUGUCGGAUUAGCUAGUUGGCUGGGUAAAGGCCCACCAAGGCGACGAUCCGUAGCUGGUCUGAGAGGAUGAUCAGCCACACUGGAACUGAGACACGGUCCAGACUCCUACGGGAGGCAGCAGUGGGGAAUAUUGGACAAUGGGCGCAAGCCUGAUCCAGCCAUACCGCGUGGGUGAAGAAGGCCUUCGGGUUGUAAAGCCCUUUUGUUGGGAAAGAAAAGCAGCAGGUUAAUACCCCGCUGUUCUGACGGUACCCAAAGAAUAAGCACCGGCUAACUUCGUG
rnacentral:rRNA from 1 species